CGGAUUGCAGGCUGCAACCCGCCUGUAUGAAGUUGGAAUCGCUAGUAAUCGCGGAUCAGCAUGCCGCGGUGAAUACGUUCCCGGGCCUUGUACACACCGCCCGUCACACCAUGAGAGUCGGGAACACCCGAAGUCCGUAGCCUAACCGCAAGGGGGCGCGGCCGAAGGUGGGUUCGAUAAUUGGGGUGAAGUCGUAACAAGGUAAC
rnacentral:rRNA from 1 species